rnacentral:rRNA from 1 species
UACGUAGGGUGCGAGCGUUGUCCGGAUUUACUGGGCGUAAAGAGCGCGCAGGCGGUCGUUCAAGUCGAGUGUGAAAGCCCCCGGCUCAACUGGGGAGGGGUCACUCGAUACUGAUCGACUCGAAGGCAGAAGAGGGAAGCGGAAUUCCCGGUGUAGUGGUGAAAUGCGUAGAUAUCGGGAGGAACACCAGUGGCGAAGGCGGCUUUCUGGUCUGCUCUUGACGCUGAGGCGCGAAAGCUAGGGUAGCAAACGGG